CUUUAACCUCUCUCUCUGAAUUUGUUUUACAGAACAGGCGAGGGUUGGACCUCCUCUUCAUGAGAGAAGGAGGACUUUGUGCUGCAUUGAGGGAAGAAUGUUGUUUUUAUGCCAACCAUAAUGGAGUUGUAAAAAAAUCUAUGAGUAAAUUAAGAAGACACCUUGAAGAGUGUCAACAAGAGAGAGAGGCACAAAAAGGGUGGUUUGAGUCUUUUUUCACACAGUCCCCCUGGUGAACUACGCUUUUAUCAGCCCUGGCCAGUCCAUUAAUAAUCCUCAUAUUAUUGCUAAUUGUAGGAUCCUGUUUGCUCAACCGUGUAGUUUCCUUUCUACAAGCUCAAAUUGGAUAAGUUAAACUUAUGGUAAUCAGACAACAAUAUACCUCACUAGCAGACAUAAAAUAUGAGACCCCCCAAUGAUCACUUUUAUGAUUAAAAGUAACCAGAAUAAGAAGUGGGGAAUGAAAUGUUAAUAAAAUAGGUACAUGUCACUUCCUGCUUUUCUGUAUGCUUAACAAAACACUGUUGAAAUCUUGAAAACUGUUUGCUAAUCUUGUUCCCAGAAUGUCCUGUCCCCAACUGCCAAACUGCUGAAUGUACUCCCUCUCCCGUUGGGAUGCAAACCACUCACUCAACCUGACCAAUCAAUAAAUUUCCCUCCCUGCCCUCACCAAGUAAAGUACAUAAGCUCUGCUUAAGCUGUUCUCAGGGCUCUCUGCUCUAUUCAAGUGAGCUCUGAGCCCCAGCAUGCUGGACCCCCAAUAAACCCUUUGCUGUUGCAUGAGAUAGUCUCUUCAUGGUCUCUUCCUCUGAUGCUCACCCGACCUUUACAUUGGUACAAUCAUAAGUGUGAACUUUGCUUUGUGUGUCCAUGAUAUUACUGUAAUAAAAUGUAUAUGUAGAUCAGGUGACAGGAGUAUAUCUUCCACCAUUCCUGGGAGCAAUAUAUUGAAGAUGUAUGAAUUUGUAUUGGGAGUAGAAAUAGGUGUACCAUGUGUCUAUGAAUAAAGAGAUAAUGCAUGAAUAGACCAUACUGUGAAUAAAUAAUAUAACUGGUUCCAACUUUAAAUAAUGGAUUGAAUUUAUAUCUGAAAAUAUACAGGAAAUCUUAUAUUGAUAUAAUACAAUUAAUCCUAACCGUUAUACAUCUAAUUGUAAUAUUAGGGUUAUGGAUUAUCAUGAAGAGUGUAUGAGUUUUGCUUCAAAAGUGAUUAUGGAAAUUGAAAAUAAUGUGUUUGGAAAGAAGUCUCAUGAAAAGACCAGUCAAAAAACCUGGAGGUAUACGUGUGUUCUGAAGCAGGAAGUGAUUGAAAGUGAAACAAAUGCCAAUAUAUUUGAUAACUUGUGGAUGAAAUAUAUAUCCUAUGAUGUGCAUAAAUUGAAUAAAUAGUAAUGUACCAGAGUUGAAUAAAAAUGAAC
rnacentral:lncRNA from 1 species